GUGGGUCACACGAACCGACCCCGUCCGUCCCCGCACGCCACCAAGGCAACCCAACAAAAAGCAUCCCACCGCGUCUCCGCCCGCCGCCACCAGCAGAUCCAUCCCCUCCCCUCACCUUUACCCUCGAGCUCGGCGGCGACCUCGACCCGCUCGCUCGUCCCGCCAAGCUCCUUGCCCCUCCGGCCAAGCCCGUGCCCGGCGCCAUGAACCCAUACGACCUCCGCUUCGCCGACCCCUUGUCGUACCACGACAGGCGCAGCGACCUGGCCGUGGCUCCUAUUGUCGCUCCGCCGGUCCUCAUGCCGGCGGCGAACAAUUUCGCCGCCGCGUAUCCGCCCGUGCCUGCGGCAUCCGCUGGCGUCGAUUACGCGCGCUACGGGCAGGGCGGCAGAGGCGGUGGAGGAGGAGGCAGAGGCGGUGGAGGCGGCUAUGGAGGUGGCGGUGGAGGCGGCUAUGGUGGCGGCAGAGGAGGGCGCGGCAGGGACGGGCUUGACACGCUCGCGCUGCCCAAGCCUGACUUCCGGAGCCUGAUACCGUUUGAGAAGAACUUCUACGUGGAGUCUCCCUCCGUGCAGGCUAUGUCGGAUGCGGAGGUGGCGCAGUACCGCCGCCUACGGGAUAUCACCGUCGAGGGCCGGGAUGUGCCCAAGCCAGUCCGAUACUUCCAGGAAGCCAACUUCCCAGAUUACUGCAUGCAAGCAAUUGCCAAAUCUGGGUUUGUGGAGCCGACACCUAUCCAAUCUCAAGGUUGGCCUAUGGCUCUGAAGGGUAGGGAUCUGAUUGGUAUCGCUCAAACAGGCUCAGGGAAAACAUUAUCUUAUCUGCUACCUGGGUUGGUUCAUGUUGGCGCCCAGCCUCGCCUAGAGCAAGGUGAUGGCCCGAUUGUAUUAAUCCUCGCCCCAACAAGAGAACUUGCUGUUCAAAUACAGGAAGAAUCCACAAAAUUUGGAUCGUAUUCAAGAACUAGAAGCACAUGUGUCUAUGGUGGUGCACCUAAGGGUCCACAAAUACGCGACCUUAGAAGAGGAGUGGAAAUUGUCAUUGCGACUCCUGGGCGGUUGAUUGAUUUGCUGGAAGCUGGUCACACAAACCUACGUAGAGUGACAUACCUUGUGCUGGACGAGGCAGACCGGAUGUUAGAUAUGGGGUUUGAGCCUCAAAUUCGAAAAAUUGUUGCACAGAUCCGGCCAGACAGGCAAACCUUAUAUUGGAGUGCCACUUGGCCUAGAGAAGUUGAAGCCUUAGCUAGACAGUUUCUGCAAAAUCCUUACAAGGUAACCAUAGGAUCACCUGACCUUAAAGCUAAUCAUUCCAUACAACAAAUUGUUGAAGUCAUUUCAGAGCAUGAGAAGUACCCGAGACUCAGUAAGCUCUUGUCUGAUUUAAUGGAUGGGAGUCGUAUCUUGAUAUUUUUCCAAACGAAAAAGGACUGUGAUAAGAUCACCAGGCAACUUAGAAUGGAUGGGUGGCCAGUAUUAUCUAUACAUGGUGAUAAGGCUCAAGCUGAAAGGGAUUAUGUUCUUGCAGAGUUUAAGAGUGGCAAGAGUCCUAUAAUGGCUGCCACAGAUGUAGCAGCACGUGGUCUUGGUAUGAUUAUUUAUUUGAAUUUUAGGAUUAGGUAGUAGUUCCAAGUGCUCAAGGAUAAGUCGGAGGACUGUUCAGCUGUGUUUGGUUGAGUGAACUGAACUUGUGGAUUGGUGGUGUAUACCAAGGUGCCAUCAUGUCAAAGGUAGAUCAUCUUUUCCUGUGGUUUACCUCACUUGAGCCUGAGCAUUGGCAGUGUUACCUGGGCACUUCAGCUUUCAGAUGACGCCUAUGUUGGACUGGCAUGCUGGACAGAUUUUGUUUGGGUUAUACGGUCUUGCGGAUAUUAGAUGCUCCUUAUUGAAUAAAUGGUUACCCAGGCAUGCCAGUUGCAGUAUUCAACAUUUCCUAAUAAAGGCUGAGAGGUUAAUCACCAUCAAUUCCACAUCCAGCAGUGAUUGAUACCCGGUUCAGUUUUUCAGCUCCUUCGACUUGUGUUUUAGAAAUUGGAAGUGCAGCACUGUGGAUUUUAUUUUUGGUGCUUGUCUAAACCAUGUACUGCCUUCUAUGGAGAUCGACAAUGUUGAUGUUCCAGUGGUCCAGCGUGGUUUUCAGGACAACACAUCAAUCUUGAUUAAGUACUGAUAACAUUUAUUAAUUUUGCAGAUGUGAAGGACAUAAAAUGUGUGAUAAAUUAUGAUUUUCCAACAACACUUGAAGAUUAUAUUCACAGGAUAGGUCGAACUGGCCGUGCUGGUGCCAGUGGAACUGCAUUUACUUUUUUCACACAUGCAAAUGCGAAGUUCUCAAGGAACCUAGUCAAGAUUUUGCGGGAAGCUGGCCAAGUCGUGAAUCCUGCACUAGAAACCAUGUCCAAAUCUGCGAGUUCGAUGGGAGGAGGCAAUUUCCGGUCGAGGGGCAGAGGUGGGUUUGGUAACCGGGGUCAUAUGUCUGGAUCAAAUACCUUUCCGUUAGGAGGAAGAAGGCCAUACUAAUGGGUGCCAAGGAACUAUGGGACUUCUAUUUGUAUACUAUUAGGCAUUAAAUGCAUUCUUCGGGAAAUUUCAGAGAAAUUCCCUCAACUUCUAUAGGACAUCAAAUCAAUUUGCUUCCGUUACUUAUUGCAUCUAUGAAGCUUAUGAUCACAUGGAACAUCAAAUUUUAUCAUACCAUUUGCAUUCAAGUCAAACUUA